UCUCCGUUCUCUUCUCUAGCUCUUUAAUCACAUCACAUCAGUCUUCAAAAUUUCUCCUUUCAGUCCUUUUGUUGUUAUAUAAAUAUCCUUCCCUUUCAAUUGUGCAAAAUCUUUGGUUCUGCUGCGAUUGCUGUUUGAGUUAGCAACUGCUGCCAACAAGCUUCGAUUGCCAUUCAUGCACCCAAUUGCAAUGUCUCCCUUGUUGUUGGCUCCUGAGAAAGCAGAGGAUUUGUCCCUUUUUUUUUUUUCUCCCCUAAUGUUAUUGCCUCUGUCAAUCACCUCGAUUAAUGACAACCCCAUGUAGCUAUUGAGUUCAGCUGUUGGAGUUGAAUUCCUCCACGGAAAUGGAUCGUUUAGAAUAUAUCUGUGUAUUCAUGGCAAUGAUUCUUUCCUUGUUUUACAUUUUUUAGGCAUAAACAAUUGAUGAGUUUUGCCGUCCAAACAUUCUCUUUCUUCUGGGCAAAAUCCAGUUGUGAGAUACUCCCAUGUUUUUGUGUUUCUGUCCAAAGCUGUUUCCUUUAAAAAGGUGACCUUGAGAUUUGCUCUCUGGGCUUCUUUCUUUGGAUGCUUUGUUUGGUUUCCGGGAAAAGGAAAGAAGAGGCUACUAGUUUUAAAAUGUCUUUCUUACAUUGUCUUGCUGAGAAGCUAUAAUGCCUCUGCAUUGCAACACCUUCCUGCGUAAUUAAAUUGGUAUAAGCAAUUUUCCUUCCUCACUUAGCGUUUGAGCUCCUGCUUACAGUAAUCUUAUUGAGCUGAUAGAUCUUAUCUUGCUGUUUGUGCUAAGACUUCUACUCGAUGAUCGCCUUUGUUGUGAUUAUUGCCGUUGGUCUGUGGAGAUUCUUUAGUUUAGUAAUUUAGAUUACCUGUGAUCUUCUCUUGUAGGAGUCCAAUAACUUGAUGUGAAUGUCAAGUAAAUGGUGUUCCUUUUGUCCACUCAAUCUCCUAUACGUGCUCUUCAGAAGCGAUCCAUUUGCAGAAAAAAAUAAAUACAACUCCGGGCACUCGAGGAAGGAUCAUCAACCAUGAGAUUUACGAGAGGGACUAGAGUGGAAGUAUUAGACAGGAAGGAGCUGCUCUUGGGUUCUUGGCGCUGUGGAGAAAUAAUCUCCAGUAAUGGACGCACCUGCACUGUCCGGUAUUACAGCCCAAGCAGAAAGAAUGCUCUAGCCAAAGUCUCCGGCUCGGUCCUCAGGCCUUGUCCACCUCAUCUGGGCAUUCGAAAGGAAUGGGCCUCUGGCGAUGUUCUGGAGGUAUUGAAUGAUUACUCUUGGAGAAUGGCUAAAGUGAUGAAGUCUUUGGGUGGUGAUUCCUAUGUGGUUCGGGUACUUGGAACGUCUGAGGAAUUCAGGGUUGAUGUUUCAGAAACUAGGGUGAGGCAGUCUUGGAAUAAUGGCAAAUGGAUUAUAAUUGGACAGGUUUCUGGUGUUGCCAAUGAACGUAAGCAAGAUGACCAAGUUCGAGCUGAAACUCCAAAAAGAGAAUCCUCUUAUCUCUAUCAUCAAGCUGGAGGCCCCAAGAAACGCCGUGUCUGCGCAAAAGAGAGAAUUAGUAGUGCAGAAGUCGAUGCAAAUCGAGCUAAGUUGCCUGAGCUAAUUGACGUGUCUUUGAGGAUUCAAGACUCCGCUGCUAGUUCUUCAUGUUCCAUAUCACAUGCAGAAUCUAACAACAAUGAUGAUACAUGCUCCAUUGGAAGCUGCAGCAUCACCGAUGACAAAUACUGUAGAUCGUCUCCCAAGUUUUCUGGCCCAGCUGAAGGUAACAUGAGUGAUGCUGAAUCUUUCAGCCAUGGUCGAUACAAGGCACAGAAGGAUUAUGUGCCCCCUAACUCAGGAGAGGGAUCAGAGGCUGAAGUCCAUAACUUGGAGUUGCGUGCAUACCGUCGUACGAUGGAGGCACUAUAUGCUUCGGGGGCUCUAAGUUGGGAAAAGGAGUCGCUCAUGAGCAAUCUUCGGGUAUCCCUCAACAUAUCGAGCGAUGAGCAUUUAACAGAGUUGAGAGUCCUGCUUUCUGCAAGUAAUGACACCCCAUUUAGGUGAGAAAGAACACAAACUCCCUGGAGAGAUUGAUUACAGACAUGUAUCAAGGAUAUGCUUCUUAGGUAUGAUUUUUGCUGGAUGAUAUAUAAAGGGAUGAAUUCUUCUUACUUUUCAGAUAAAACAGUUAGGGGAAACUAUAUGGAAGGGGAGGCAACAUAGACAAGUGAACGCAUACUUUCAUCUUAUUUUCAAAACUAUAGCAAUACAAAGUACAAAUCAAGAGGGCCUUGAGUUGUGAUCACUGGAUCUAUCAUGAGAAGCCCAUUAGUUUUCUUGUCUCUUCAAUUGGGUUAUAGCCCAUUUGGUUUCUCAUAGAUGAGUUUUCGGAAGGACAAUGUUCAGGUUGUCAAAAGUUUGUUCGGCCCGGUUCCGACCAACAACUCAUGAAA